ACCUUCGGGCCUCAUGCCAUCAGAUGUGCCCAGAUGGGAUUAGCUAGUAGGUGGGGUAACGGCUCACCUAGGCGACGAUCCCUAGCUGGUCUGAGAGGAUGACCAGCCACACUGGAACUGAGACACGGUCCAGACUCCUACGGGAGGCAGCAGUGGGGAAUAUUGCACAAUGGGCGCAAGCCUGAUGCAGCCAUGCCGCGUGUAUGAAGAAGGCCUUCGGGUUGUAAAG
rnacentral:rRNA from 1 species